GACGAACGCUGGCGGCGUGCUUAACACAUGCGAGUCGAACGGAAAGGCCCUGCUUUUGUGGGGUGCUCGAGUGGCGAACGGGUGAGUAACACGUGAGUAACCUGCCCUUGACUUUGGGAUAACUUCAGGAAACUGGGGCUAAUACCGGAUAGGAGCUCCUGCUGCAUGGUGGGGGUUGGAAAGUUUCGGCGGUUGGGGAUGGACUCGCGGCUUAUCAGCUUGUUGGUGGGGUAGUGGCUUACCAAGGCUUUGACGGGUAGCCGGCCUGAGAGGGUGACCGGCCACAUUGGGACUGAGAUGCGGCCCAGACUCCUACGGGAGGGAGCAGUGGUGAAUAUGGCACAAUGGGCGGAAUCCUGAUGCAGCAACGCCGCGUGCGGGAUGACGGCCUUCGGGUUGUAAACCGCUUUCGCCUGUGACGAAGCGUGAGUGACGGUAAUGGGUAAAGAAGCACCGGCUAACUACGUG
rnacentral:rRNA from 1 species